rnacentral:rRNA from 1 species
UACGAAGGGGGCUAGCGUUGUUCGGAAUUACUGGGCGUAAAGCGCACGUAGGCGGAUUGUUAAGUCGAGGGUGAAAUCCCAGGGCUCAACCCUGGAACUGCCUUCGAUACUGGCAUUCUUGAGUCCGAGAGAGGUGAGUGGAAUUCCGAGUGUAGAGGUGAAAUUCGUAGAUAUUCGGAAGAACACCAGUGGCGAAGGCGGCUCACUGGCUCGGAACUGACGCUGAGACGCGAAAGCGUGGGGAGCAAACAGG